AACAGGUACCGAGGGCACCUGCAGCUCUUCAAGGUUGUUAACUGAUAACAGAGGAAGCAGGACGCUUGCUAGAGGGUCUCUUUCGGUCUUGGAGGAGUGAGUGCCUGGAGCAGUCUCUGCCUGACUCCUUGGUAAGUCAUGGCCAAAAGUCUUUAAGGUGCCAAAGGUAAGGGUUCGAAUUAAUUCUUUUUCUGAGUUUUCAAAAGAACUAGGCUUAACUUUGUGUGCUGU
rnacentral:lncRNA from 1 species